UACGUAGGGUGCGAGCGUUGUCCGGAAUUAUUGGGCGUAAAGGGCUCGUAGGCGGUCUGUUGCGUCGGGAGUGAAAACUCAGGGCUUAACCCUGAGCCUGCUUCCGAUACGGGCAGGCUAGAGUGUGGUAGGGGAGAUCGGAAUUCCUGGUGUAGCGGUGAAAUGCGCAGAUAUCAGGAGGAACACCGGUGGCGAAGGCGGAUCUCUGGGCCAUUACUGACGCUGAGGAGCGAAAGCGUGGGGAGCGAACAGG
rnacentral:rRNA from 1 species